UGGGGAAUUUUGGACAAUGGGCGAAAGCCUGAUCCAGCAAUGCCGCGUGUGUGAAGAAGGCCUUCGGGUUGUAAAGCACUUUUGUCCGGAAAGAAAUCCUUGGCUCUAAUACAGUCGGGGGAUGACGGUACCGGAAGAGUAAGCACCGGCUAACUACGUGCCAGCAGCCGCGGUAAUACGUAGGGUGCAAGCGUUAAUCGGAAUUACUGGGCGUAAAGCGUGCGCAGGCGGUUUGCUAAGACCGAUGUGAAAUCCCCGGGCUCAACCUGGGAACUGCAUUGGUGACUGGCAGGCUAGAGUAUGGCAGAGGGGGGUAGAAUUCCACGUGUAGCAGUGAAAUGCGUAGAGAUGUGGAGGAAUACCGAUGGCGAAGGCAGCCCCCUGGGCCAAUACUGACGCUCAUGCACGGAAGCGUGGGGAGCAAACAGGAUUAGAUACCCUGGUAGUCCACGCCCUAAACGAUGUCAACUAGUUGUUGGGGAUUCAUUUCCUUAGUAACGUAGCUAACGCGUGAAGUUGGACCGCCUGGGGAGUACGGUCGCAAGAUUAAAA
rnacentral:rRNA from 1 species